CAUGGCCGCCCAUUGACGGAAGCUAAAAUGUUGCUCCUACGAUAUACGCCUUAAAAGAAUUUGGUGACUUUAGCCAUAUUUGAACGCAGUUUUCGUGCUCAUUUUACUAGUCAUCAGCUAACUGUCGUUCAUGCCAGGUUUUCUGAGUUGGCAAUACCGACGGCAACUGUCAUUUUCAGCUGUCCCACUUUUGCAUGGAGGGAAAAUUGCAUGUUGUGAAAUAAACAGACGCAAAUGAAUGUGAAACAUUUGUGAAAAUAAAACUUUGGCCAAAUGAUGGUGCAUAUAGUAUGUAUGUUUAUGCGUACAUAUACGAAUAUGUCGUAUAUAUAAUUAAAAUAAGCAAAUUAUUAUUGACAUUUAAACGAACAAUUAAUAUCCGCGAUUUAUGGGGAAUUAGAAAAUUUGAAAGCAUUUCCUUUAAUUUGUUGCAUUUUUAACGAACGAAAUGCAUGAAAGGCGUGCAUUAUUUAUAAUAUAGUACUAUAAGUCUUUGCACUGCUUUUAAGCCCCCAGCGCAGCAACGAAGAAGCGUCAAAAUAUAUGUAGGUAGACCUGUGUUCAAUAUCGAUUCGUCAAAUAUAUAAUACAUAUAUUCGUCCUGUCAGAAGUCCUAUUAGACAGAAAACGAUCAUAUAAAUGAGAGAGAGAGAGUUGCUAAUGGGCAAUUGCUCUACAAGCCAACAAGCCUAUACUUCGAACUGGUUGGGGUUCUGAACGAAAUCGAAAGCGAUUAUGGAUUUACAUCUACUUAUAUGAUUUAUACAUAAGUACAUAUUUACAAAUAAACCUAAGUGCAUCGUCGAACUCAUACAAAUGCCCCGAUAUACAUACAUAUAUACAUAUGUGUGACCAAUGAUCCAACAAAUCGAUCCAACUUUUCACAAUGGUUUCCAGUACGUGUUCCAUCUCUUUCACGCAUUUGCCUGAAAGCAAAUCCAUGGCGGCCAUGACCAUGCGAAAUUCGGUAUUUCACAACUUCAAAUUUCGGCAAUGAUGAAAUUGUGUUGUAUAAGUCCAAAGACAUGUCAGCAAUGGAACCAGUACUACUAAAACGGUUCAUAGUUCACUUUUGGGAAAAAGUAUAAACGAAAAAGAGUUUCACCAUGAGGUUUACACGGAUUGAGCCCAAUCUUGUUGCUUUGGCCGAGAAAUAUAAUGUGAAUAAAAUGAUCUGCCGCAAAUGUUAUGCUCGUCUGCCGCCGAGGGCCACCAAUUGUCGGAAGAAGGACUGUCAUUCUAGCGAUCUGCGUCCUAAAAAGUUAUUGAAGGAUUACAAAUAAAUGCUUAGAUAUACUGUGGCCAAAACUACCUCUCUAUAUUUAUGAAAUGAUAUACAUAUGUACAUAUGUACAUGUAUAGAUAUGUUUAAAUAUCAUGUGUAAAAUGUAAUUGUAAAUUAUACUACCGUAGAUACCACUGGAGGUAUUUUUUUACUUUUUUAAUAAAAUCUUUUAAAAUAA